rnacentral:rRNA from 1 species
GACGAACGCUGGCGGCGUGCUUAACACAUGCAAGUCGAACGGAAAGGCCCUGCUUUUGUGGGGUGCUCGAGUGGCGAACGGGUGAGUAACACGUGAGUAACCUGCCCUUGACUUUGGGAUAACUUCAGGAAACUGGGGCUAAUACCGGAUAGGAGCUCCUGCUGCAUGGUGGGGGUUGGAAAGUUUCGGCGGUUGGGGAUGGACUCGCGGCUUAUCAGCUUGUUGGUGGGGUAGUGGCUUACCAAGGCUUUGACGGGUAGCCGGCCUGUGAGGGUGACCGGCCACAUUGGGACUGAGGUACGGCCCAGACUCCUACGGGAGGCAGCAGUGGGGAAUAUUGCACAAUGGGCGGAAGCCUGAUGCAGCAACGCCGCGUGCGGGAUGACGGCCUUCGGGUUGUAAACCGCUUUCGCCUGUGACGAAGCGUGAGUGACGGUAAUGGGUAAAGAAGCACCGGCUAACUACGUG